rnacentral:rRNA from 1 species
CAGUAGCCACGGUAAUACAGAGGAUGCAAGCGUUAUCCGGAAUGAUUGGGCGUAAAGCGUCUGUAGGUGGCUUUUCAAGUCCGCCGUCAAAUCCCAGGGCUCAACCCUGGACAGGCGGUGGAAACUACCAAGCUAGAGUACGGUAGGGGCAGAGGGAAUUUCCGGUGGAGCGGUGAAAUGCGUUGAGAUCGGAAAGAACACCAACGGUGAAAGCACUCUGCUGGGCCGACACUGACACUGAGAGACGAAAGCUAGGGGAGCAAAUGGGAUUAGAUACCCCAGUAGUCCCUGUCUCUUAUAA